UCGGGAAUAUUGCGCAAUGGAGGGAACUCUGACGCAGUGACGCCGCGUAUAGGAAGAAGGUUUUCGGAUUGUAAACUAUUUUAGACAGGGAAGAAAAAAGACAGUACCUGUAGAAUAAGCUCCGGCUAACUACGUGCCAGCAGCCGCGGUAAUACGUAGGGAGCAAGCGUUAUCCGGAUUUAUUGGGUGUAAAGGGUGCGUAGACGGGAUAACAAGUUAGUUGUGAAAGCCCUCGGCUUAACUGAGGAACUGCAACUAAAACUAUUAUUCUUGAGUGCAGGAGAGGGAAGCGGAAUUCCUAGUGUAGCGGUGAAAUGCGUAGAUAUUAGGAGGAACACCAGUGGCGAAGGCGGCUUUCUGGACUGUAACUGACGUUGAGGCACGAAAGUGUGGGGAGCAAACA
rnacentral:rRNA from 1 species